rnacentral:rRNA from 1 species
GAUGAACGCUAGCGGCAGGCUUAAUACAUGCAAGUCGUGGGGCAGCACAGGUAGCAAUACUGGGUGGCGACCGGCAAACGGGUGCGGAACACGUACGCAACCUUCCUUUAAGCGGGGAAUAGCCCAGGGAAACUUGGAUUAAUACCCCAUAAGAUAGUGGAGUGGCAUCACUUUAUUAUUAAAGCUCCGGCACUUAAAGAUGGGCGUGCGGCUGAUUAGGUAGUUGGCGGGGUAACGGCCCACCAAGCCGACGAUCAGUAACUGGUGUGA